rnacentral:misc_RNA from 1 species
CAAUGAGUGUUUAAUGGCACUUAAAAUCCAUUACCCACCUUGUGUGCACUGUAGGGAGGGGGCAGAACGGUGCGCCAACACAUGUUGUGCGCUGCCUGCCUCUUUCAUUAUACACAUACUAUCUUCAUUCUCGUCUACUUCUAUUGAGUAUAAAACUCUAAUA